CAGUCGCCGCGGGAAUACAGAGGGUGCGAGCGUUAAUCGGAUUUACUGGGCGUAAAGCGUGCGUAGGCGGCUUCUUAAGUCGGAUGUGAAAUCCCUGAGCUUAACUUAGGAAUUGCAUUCGAUACUGGGAAGCUAGAGUAUGGGAGAGGAUGGUAGAAUUCCAGGUGUAGCGGUGAAAUGCGUAGAGAUCUGGAGGAAUACCGAUGGCGAAGGCAGCCAUCUGGCCUAAUACUGACGCUGAGGUACGAAAGCAUGGGGAGCAAACAGGAUUAGAUACCCCCGUAGUCCCUGUCUUUAUACC
rnacentral:rRNA from 1 species